rnacentral:rRNA from 1 species
CAGCCGCCGCGGUAACACCGGCAGCUCUAGUGGUAGCAAUUUUAUGGGCCUAAAGCGUCCGUAGCCGGUUUAAUAAGUCUCUGGUGAAAUCCUGCAGCUUAACUGUGGGAAUUGCUGGAGAUACUAUUAGACUUGAGACCGGGAGAGGUUAGAGGUACUCCCAGGGUAGAGGUGAAAUUCUGUAAUCCUGGGAGGACCGCCUGUUGCGAAGGCGUCUAACUGGAACGGUUCUGACGGUGAGGGACGAAAGUUAGGGGCGCGAACCGGAUUAGAUACCCGGGUAGUCCUAACUGUAAACGAUGCGGACUUGGUGUUGGGUGGCUUUGAGCUGCUUCAGUGCCGAAGGGAAGCUGUUAAGUCCGCCGCCUGGGAAGUACGGUCGCAAGACUGAAACUUAAGGAAUUGGCGGGGGAGCACCACAACGCGUGGAGCCUGCGGUUUAAUUGGAUUCAACGCCGGACAUCUCACCAGAGGCGACAGCUGUAUGAUAGCCAGGUUGAUGACUUUGCUUGACUAGCUGAGGAGUGGUGCAUGG